rnacentral:misc_RNA from 1 species
GUAUUUUGAAUUGUUUAUUCAUAAUAUUUUUCAGACAAAGAGUUAAAAGAUAAAGGUUGAUGUUUGGUCGAUCUCCAAGAAGAAGAUCGACUGACAUUGCACACAAGGUGGAUAUGGAUUUAAAAAGUGCCAUAAAACACUUAUUAUGAAUGAUCCUUCCGCAGGUUCACCUACGGAAA